UGUUCUUGUUUCCCGUAAACAUGAGGACCCCUGUACACCCCUGUAUCAAAUGUUCAUGGUGUAAUAAUUACUUCCCGUUGUCCGCACUCGUAGCUCAUAGGGCGGCCUGCCUUCCAGAGGGCCUUGGGACUGGAUCGAAAGAUAUAUCUACUAGAAACAAUGAAGAGACGUCGUCGACUAGCUCUGAUCGAUCAGAUGUCGGUUUCUCUCAACCAGACCCCAGCGAUAUUGGAAGUUGUUCUCCACGGGCGGGUCUCAGCGACGAAGCCAGUCAAAACCAAAGGACUAUCUCCGAAGAAGGCGGGUCUGGUAGGCUCAGCCAUUGGCCCUCCUCUUCAACGAUCGGUAGUGGACGAAAACGAAAACAAGCGAAUACAGGAACAAACGACACCUGCAGGAAAAAGCAAGCCCGUCGUGAGGGAUUCUCCCAUCCAAACAGUUCUCCACAGCCAGGACCCAGCGGUUAUAACCCGGGACGGCCGACAACAACACCCUCACCAACACCAGGUGAAAUAAGCCAACAUUUCAACGGGGCCUUAACAACGAUCGACGUGCCCGUCCCACCAGCAGACAACGGCGACAUUGCAUCAUAUUUCAACAACAACACUGGCCGUCUUCGCGAGGCAGUAGAGUCUGUAUUCCAAGGCUGCCAGCAGGUUAGAC